GCAGGCUAGCCUUCCAAAGUGACUUGAGCCUGAAAGAAGGCAGACAAGUGACUUUCUCUGAGUGUCACUUAGCAAGCUCCAGCUCCUCACCUGAGAAUAUGGGGAUUCCAAAAUGCUGCUUAUUCAUCCAGAGAGCAGCUCCUGGGUGCCUUCUACAUGCCAGGAGCCACAGGACAGCGGCCCCGAGCAGGAGGGCAUCCGCUCACAGAGGGAUUUUCAAUGAAGCUCUUUGUUUAUUCAAAGUUGCGGGUUUUCUCAUGUGGAAUUUGAAGGAUCAGGGGAGGCCUGAGGGGAGAGACAGCACAAUUGUGUUUCUUGCUUUGGUCUUGAGAAAUGGAAUUAGGGAGACCUGAAGAUCAGGAAGAAAACAUGGAGAUUAUAAAUGUUUUUCUUAAUUUUUCAGGAAUUAACAUGUUCUACAUCCGUAGUUAAGAGAAAAGCAAAAACAAAACAAAUCUGUCUGUAUCAUUUAGGAUGUUUCACAGCUAAUAAUACAAAAGCUCAAGCCCUAGUCACUGAGCCAUAAGAACCAGAAUUGUUUCCUGCACAGGGAGUGUGGAGGGUGGGGCUUUGUGGCAACUUCAGCCUCUCUGUGAUGUCACAUAGCCUAUUUCCUUCUUUCCUUGCUGUCAUACUCUGCAUGUUGGCUUUUCAUCCUCCUGGUGACAGGAUGGCUGGAGAAGCUCCACACGUAACUUCCCAAUGCCUGUGUCUGAAAGAAAAGGAAGUGGGAGAGGACAACACGGCUUCAGUUUUAUCAGCCAAGAAGUCAUUGCCAAGACAGCCGCCCUGUGACAAGAUUUAUCACGUGGCGCCACUUCCAGUCCUCACGAGGUACAGCGGGACCCUGGUCCAGCUGCCUCUGUGGAGCCAGGGGGCUCGACUCCACCUCGCUCUGGAAUUCCCUGUGAACAUUCGAACAGGUACCGGAGCCCCCAGAAGACAGACCUGGUCGCCCUCUCAGUGACGAGGAGGCGUGCAGUCAGAUUUGCAGCUGCUCCUGCCCCAGUGAGUGCUUCCUGCGUGUCAGCGGAUGCCAGGUCCUGCUGGAGUUCACCCGCUCAAGUAAACAUACUAGAAAAGAAAAACCUCCUAAAUCUGAAAAUUAAAUCAUUUUAAUGUUUUCUGAAGUGUACUGCAGGGGCGUGUAACAUUUAUCUUAAUUUUGAAGAGACUUGUUAUAGAAUAAUAUGACAUCACAUGGAAAAUUUGAGAAGCUGACGUCUUUGGCAAACACUCUCUGUGUAAGAUUCUUAGUUCCUUGAGACCAGUUUCCCGCAUGAGUCAUUCAUGUGUCACACUCUGCCUGUCCAGGACCACCUGUUCUAUUAUUUAUCUUGGUUUUUUAAGUUAUUUUAAAUUGAC
rnacentral:lncRNA from 1 species